GACGAACGCUGGCGGCGUGCCUAAUACAUGCAAGUCGAGCGAAGUUUUUCUGGUGCUUGCACUAGAAAAACUUAGCGGCGAACGGGUGAGUAACACGUAAAGAACCUGCCUCAUAGACUGGGACAACUAUUGGAAACGAUAGCUAAUACCGGAUAACAGUAUUUCUCGCAUGAGAGAUAUUUAAAAGUUGGUUAUGCUAACACUAUGAGAUGGCUUUGCGGUGCAUUAGCUAGUUGGUGGGGUAAAGGCCCACCAAGGCGACGAUGCAUAGCCGACCUGAGAGGGUGAUCGGCCACACUGGGACUGAGACACGGCCCAGACUCCUACGGGAGGCAGCAGUAGGGAAUCUUCCGCAAUGGGCGAAAGCCUGACGGAGCAACGCCGCGUGAGUGAAGAAGGAUUUCGGUUCGUAAAGCUCUGUUGUUAGGGAAGAAUGGAUAUGUAGUAACUAUACAUGUAAGAGACGGUACCUAACCAGAAAGCAACGGCUAACUACGUG
rnacentral:rRNA from 1 species